AGUGAAGCGGUAAAAGCUCAAAUUUGAAAUCUGGUACUUUCAGUGCCCGAGUUGUAAUUUGUAGAAUUUGUCUUUGAUUAGGUCCUUGUCUAUGUUCCUUGGAACAGGACGUCAUAGAGGGUGAGAAUCCCGUUUGGCGAGGAUACCUUUUCUCUGUAAGACUUUUUCGAAGAGUCGAGUUGUUUGGGAAUGCAGCUCAAAGUGGGUGGUAAAUUCCAUCUAAAGCUAAAUAUUGGCGAGAGACCGAUAGCGAACAAGUACAGUGAUGGAAAGAUGAAAAGAACUUUGAAAAGAGAGUGAAAAAGUACGUGAAAUUGUUGAAAGGGAAGGGCAUUUGAUCAGACAUGGUGUUUUUUGCAUGCACUCGCCUCUCGUGGGCUUGGGCCUCUCAAAAAUUUCACUGGGCCAACAUCAGUUCUGGCAGCAGGAUAAAUCAUUAAGAAUGUAGCUACCUCGGUAGUGUUAUAGCUUAUUGGAAUACUGCUAGCUGGGAUUGAGGACUGCGCUUCGGCAAGGAUGUUGGCAUAAUGGUUAAAUGCCGC
rnacentral:rRNA from 1 species